rnacentral:lncRNA from 1 species
GAUAUUGGUGUAGUACAUUCUAGGGGAUCUGGUGUCGUUCUGUAGGAUGUGGGGAUGUCACAGUCUGUGGUUCACCCAACAUGGUGGUCCCCCAUUGGGUCCCUGAGCUUCUCUUCUUUUCACAUCAUGUGCUUGGUGCACCAUUUCCACGAUGUUGGUGGCGGUGCUGGCAGAUUGCUGUUGAUGACGUUCGUAGUGCGUUUUUUUUUUUGUUCUAUUUCCAUCGCUUCUAUUGGUGUCAUCGCAUUACGAUCUCGCAGGUUUUAUUAUUUUCGCUUCUGUCCACCUCACAUUAAUGUCCUUCU